UACGUAGGUCCCGAGCGUUGUCCGGAUUUAUUGGGCGUAAAGCGAGCGCAGGUGGUUUAUUAAGUCUGGUGUAAAAGGCAGUGGCUCAACCAUUGUAUGCAUUGGAAACUGGUAGACUUGAGUGCAGGAGAGGAGAGUGGAAUUCCAUGUGUAGCGGUGAAAUGCGUAGAUAUCGGGAGGAAGGUCGGUGGCGAAGGCGGCCUCCUGGGCCUGCACUGACGCUGAGGCGCGAAAGCGUGGGGAGCAAACAGG
rnacentral:rRNA from 1 species